UGGUUUUGCCCUGAUCUUGGA
ensembl:piRNA 21ur-5160 ncRNA